UUUGCCGCAUAAUUUAGUAUUAUUAUUAUUAUCGUCCGCAGCACAUGUAUGAAGCUUGUAUGGUGAAAAUCGGAAUCGUAUGUCGGCCAUCUUGCUUGGCAAAAUUGACAGGAGCUGACAGAAAUGACGUUGACAUUGACUGAUUGAACAUUAUUUGUCAUAUCAUUUGAGUUUGUUUUUGAUUUCAAUGUAUGCUGGAAGCGUGGGUUGGGAUUGUUUUAAGGAUGGUUCAUGCUAUUUUAAAUCAAUAACUUUUUUCGCUAAAAAUUUAUCAUCAAUUCAUAUGUUAAUUGAUCUGCAGCAAUUCCAGGUGUCAGAUGAACUUCGAGAACUAGAGAAAAUCCAUGAGUUGACUGGAUCUAACACUCGUAGAGAAGAAGCUGCGCCAACACAAUUACCGAGCAGGACAAAAGGAAGAAAAACGAAAGUUCGAGGAUACUAAAAAAAGAGGAGAAGCAAUAUAUAUAUAUAGGGUGUCCAAGAUAUGGAUUCUAAGCAUGGAGAUCUCUGUACCUAUUGAAGUUACAGUCUGGGUUAAAUUCGAAAAAAGUUGCGUACUUUGACGGGUAUUUAAAUUCCAGCGAUUAGACACCAUAAUUAGUCACUAAACUUUCUUCAGACUAUAUCAUUUUUGCAGGGAAAUUUAUAUUAUCUUCGCAUGCGCGUGUGUACCACUCACAAAAAUGUCGUCCUCGUUCUAGAUCCCCUGACUUCAGUGGUUGGCAAAUUCUAAAUUUAUACGGAUGAUAUUUAUUAUUACGUAAAAUAAAUUGAGCAGUGGAUUUGGCUACUCCUACAUUUUUCUCAAUUUACCUAGUUAAAAUUGUAGGGUUCUCAAAAACUGCUUGUGACACAUUAUUUUGAGUGUCUUCAGAAGAUUCCUUUUUCCUAGAUAAAACUGGCUUUUUAAAUGCACCAUGUUCUUUUAAAUUUCGCGUCAACUCUAAGAAAAUUGACUUACAUGGCUGGUUUCUAUCUAGAAAUUUAUUUAAAUACAUUGCUGCUGUAUUUUCAGUGUUCUUCUGGCACAACAUGUAGCAGGUCAGGAUGUCAUUCUUUUUUUCAUAUAAUGGCCACCUCAAUUGUGCACGGGGUAAUGGCAUAUUUAACGAUAUUAACACAACAAAAAAACACUCAACAAUAAAAACUGUAACAACAACAAAAACUCUAAAAAUAAGUUAAUAACUCUAAAUCAACUUAACAAUGAUUAUUUUAUCCGACCACAAACAAAAUUAAGCCAUAUGUGAUAGGGUAGGAGGUAUGUACGUCAAAAUGUCAAAGAAUUAUUUGUUUUCAAAGCUUACCUUAAAAUAUGAUUAAAAAAAUAGCAAAAUCGCAUUUAUUCUUGCAUCUAAUAAAAAGAAUAUAACAUGUGAUCGUUGACAUGACAUCGUUGAAUUUGUAAUAAAAAAUGGAAUCAGAUACAUGGUAUAUUUUUUUCCGGGCCAUAUAAAAAUAUAAAGUUGAUGAUGGUUUCUCGAAAACGAAACGUCGGAUAGAAAAUCUAUAAACCCCAUCACAUUGCUUUUAAAAAGUGCCAAUGAAAAAGUUUUGUUAGUUUUUUUAUAUCUUAAAUAAUGUCAGAAAAACAUAAAAUCGAUUUUGGCAAAUUUCCGUUUUUUCCAAUACCUCGGCAGGACAUGAAAAUUUUUUAAUUUUCUUUUUUUCUCAUUUAAAUACGCUUUAAAGUACGCAACUUUUUUCUAAUUUAACCUGAGCUGUAACUUCAGUAGGUACUGACAUCCCCACGCUAAUGAUCCUUAUCUUGAACAUCCUGUAUAGUAGAAAAACACGUAGUCUCAAAAAGACUAAAAUAAACAUUAAGCAAGGUUAA